ACCAGGGUAGCUCAACUGGUAGAGCGAUCGCCUGUUACGCGAAGGGUUGCAGGUUCGAGCCCUGCCCCUGGUGCCA
rnacentral:tRNA from 1 species